rnacentral:rRNA from 1 species
UACGAAGGGGGCUAGCGUUGCUCGGAAUUACUGGGCGUAAAGGGAGCGUAGGCGGGUCGUCAAGUUGGGGGUGAAAGCCCAGGGCUCAACCUUGGAAUUGCCUUCAAAACUGACGAUCUAGAGUAUGGAAGAGGUAAGUGGAACUCCGAGUGUAGAGGUGAAAUUCGUAGAUAUUCGGAAGAACACCAAUGGCGAAGGCAGCUCGCUGGGACGUGACUGACGCUGAGACGCGAAAGCGUGGGGAGCAAACAGG